CCCAGGCCAGUCUUGCUCCCUCUCUUCCUGCAGUUUGCAGAUUACAGGAGCCCUUAGCUACGGCUACAGUACCUUGCCUUCCAGCCACCAAGAUCCCCACCACAAUGACCAUGGACUCGCCCUCUGAAACUCACUCAGGAGGCAGAUCUCUGUGAGUUCGAGGCCAGCCUGAUCUACAAGAGCUAGUGUGGAACUCCAGACUGUUCAUAGGGCUUCGUGUAUGUUAGUCUUCUCAAAGGGAACUACUACUGUCCUUGAUUUGAUGCCUUCAUUACCACAAAAGGAAAAAUAGAUGGGUGUGGUGGCGCAUGCCAGUGGGAUUUGCUGAAAGAGGCAGAGGCAGGAGGAUCACAAAAGGAAAAAUAGCUCCAACAAACAGUUCCUCCUGAUGUUGAUGCCGGUGAACAAGCCCUCCCUGGAUGUGGACUGAACCCAACAACGCGCUCCUCGUGAGCAGGAAACAGCAAGUGUGCUGGGUGUCACGUUUAUGAUUGCAUGAGAGGACUGCGGUUUCCAUCUUGCUACCUACUCUUUUAAAGAUGUUUCUUGAAACAUGUGUGUGAGUAUGCACAUAUGUGCAGACGCCCUCAGAUGUCAGAGGUAUCUGGUCUCCUGAAACAGGCACUUAUUUAUUUUAAGCUCAGGUGGUGGUCUGUGCACCACAUGUGGGCCUGGUGCCCAUGGAGGUCCGAAGAGGAGGCCCUGGAACUGGAGUGAUGAAGAGAUGUGGCUUGCCACGUGCGUGCUGGGAAUGGAACCUGGCUCCUCUGCAAGAACAACAAAUGCUCUCAACAGCUGAGCCCAUCCCCAGCCCAUCGUUUCCGUUCUGUAUGAUUGUUGUGGUGUGUUUCCCAGAACAUAGGACACAAGUUUCUCCCAUGCAAUGUGUUGAAUGCAUUGCCUGGGAAUGGAAUUGCCAGACCCCGGGAUUUACAAACCUUCAGCAUUAUUGUCAGUCAACAAAUCAUUAGAGUGAAGGUCCAUGCCACGGUCAGGGUUUCAAGUGACAUGUAGCCUCCGUCCAUAGAGUUGAGAUCAGUGUGGACAGGGUUGAGAGUCAUACAGAAAGCUAAUUUAAGAGAAUCCAUGGGCAAGGUUGGGAACAUGAGUGGCCACCUUGGUGAAAAUUUGCAGCUUGGGUUUGAACAAGUUUGGAGGACACUGGAAGGAGGCGAUGGGGGUCACCCAGCGCUAGAAGCAGGCUGUCACAUUUCCCAAACUCUUGUCCACUGGCAGGAUCAUCAAUCUAAGGAGACAUGAGACCCAUCCUGGGUCCACGGGGUCUUUAAGAGGACAGCUAGGUGAAAGCGAUAAAGGACAAGGCAGGAACUCGCUGCCUUUCGGACCCUUACAGACAGAAAGAAAAGGCAGCACAGGGAAGAACGCACAACACCACUUUUAAUAGAGACAACUCUGCUCUGUCUUCCCCAGGCACUCCUUAUAUUGUUCCAGGCAGAAAGGGCUAUUGUACACAGCUGGAUGCCUCUUACUCGUGGCUUCUUCUUUCAACACCUUAUCCCUUCCUCUCCAGCUGCAGUGGUCUCCAGCCCUGAGAUGGGUCCCAUGUAAGCACCCAGGAGGGACAAGAGAAUCCCUCCACUUCCGGGUAUAGCUGCUCGCGUGUCCGAGGCCUUGGAGAAUUAGCAUGGAUGGAGACGGGGCUGUCCUCUGAGCUGAGAAAGGAACCAGAGGACCGCCUCUCCAGGCCCAGCGCUGGGAGCCUCAAAGUGGACACGGUUUGGGAGGUCAUGCCGUGUGUCCGCACAGGUUUUCUGGGCUGUGGAAAGUGGUCUUUUCUCCUGGCCCGGAUGGAGUGUAAGGAGGAGGAUCAAUCUCAGGUCUCUGCUUUGAACACCCCCACGUUCGCCCGAACCCUCCGCGUCCGAGCGCCGCUGCUGCAGGGGGCGCCAGUGAGCAGCUGGAUCCGCCCUCCCAAUCCUGCGUCCGCAGGUGAGUGGGUAGGUCGCGGCGUCGGGGCUCCAGCGGGCACCGGGAAAACCCGCGCAGCCCGGGCACUGCUCACCGCUGCUUGCGCUCGGCCUGCUGGAGCCUCCGGGAGAGGUCAUCGAUGCGCACGUUCUUGAGUUGGAGCAGGUGUUCCAGACGCUUCACCUUCAUCUGCAGGACCUGGAUGGGGGCGCAGAGACGUCAAGCCUGAAGACCUGUUGCCCUGCAGACCUCAAGCUGCCCUUUAGGCCUUAGUGUCCCCUCCUCACCUGCACUGUCUCUUGAGAGGCCAACAGCUCCUGCUCUUUUUCAGCGAUCUGAAGGACGAAGCUGGGAUCGCCCUGCAGCGCCUGGUUAUAUCCAGAGGGUCUAGGAGCCGGUGGCCGGCCCCCUCUGCAGUGGAAAGCAGCUUAGCAGAGGCCAGGACCUCAGACCCCGCCAUUCCUUUCUAGUACUUGCUACCAGGCCUUCCUUUGUCGCCUUCUCACCACCUCCCCAAUGGCCAAGGCACUGCCACACUAGUCUUUGUGGUGAAGGUAUCAAGCCCGGUGAGGUCAGAACUCUCAAGUUUACCUGAGCUGCUCCCCUCCCAGGGCUGGGGCACCGUCUCCUAGAGUCUUCUGGGACAGACCUAAGACAAAGCAAGUGAAGAAGUGACCUUGUUGGAGUACCACUCUCCUGUCUCCCCCGGAUCCUAAGAUCGGUGUGGGAAAGCUUUCCUGAGGUAAAGGAAAGCCACCUUACCCAUAUCCAUGUAGCCACUGACAUCCUGAGAAGCCGGCUCCUGAAAGAACAGAUGCGGUCUCCUGUGAACCUGGGUGUCUACGUCCAAAAAGCCCCAUUUUCCUUCCACAAUCCUGUGGGCCAGGUUCUCUUAGCUAGAUACCCGUCUUCCUAUUUAUCGCCUAGGUAGGCAUCGCCAUUGCCUAGUCCACUGUCUGGGGAGCACCCCUUGCGCCCCCAUCAGCAGGCUCAUGCAGCAGCACCUGUAAGGAGCCAGCACCCAGUUUCUGGCGCCUCUGCCGCUCCUCCAAGCGCUGCCUUAGUGGAAUGAGCACCAGCUCCACUACACCUGGAGAACACUGCGCAAUCUUCCGCAUCACAUCGUCGGGGACAGAGAAGUUCAGCUUGUUCAGCACCUUUCUACGGAGUGGAUACAAGAAGGGUGAGCGGGUCCUGGGGAAAUGAAAGGAGUGCAGUGGGAAAGGAGUGGACAUAGCCCCAGGGGACUGGAAGGGCAGACUCCUGAACCUCCUUGCUUGACUGUUCCAAUUUCCCUUGAGUGUUUCCAUUCCAAUAAAAUAAUUAUUUGAUUUUAUUACUAAA